CAAUGUCAGUAUCCGAGCAAUAUCAGAAGCUGGGCAGCAGAGAGCCAGGCUUUGAUCCUAGGGGAAAGGAAGAGGUCAGAGCAGGGCAGGCCCCAUACAGAUGAAGACUGGGACACUACUCAGGUUACAGAGCAUAGAUGGAGACAGAGCCUGGUUACAGGACUUGAGGACCCAUCCAGGACCAUGUCUGAGCAGCAGAGCAGACCCAGAGCCUGAGACAGAAGGCCAAUAGCAGGAAAGAUGCUUGCUACUGAGUCUUAUACCAGACAGAAAGCUGUGCAAGGGCAAUGAUCUUUCAUAGAGAAGUUCCUGGCACACAUUACCCGUGGUCAACCAGUCUGGAAGCAGAUGAUGUUCCAAGCUAUCAUCAGAAGGUCAAUAGGAUCCUAACGCUAUGUCACAUGCCCACAUCAUUCACCUCACCCCAUAUCAUCAUCAUUUUAUCAUCUCACAUCAUCAUAAGAAGGGUCCGUGCAGUACAAGAUUUUUUGAGAGACUAAAUUCAUGUAACUUUUAUCAUAUAUAAUACAUUGUUACAAUUGUUCUAUUUUAUUAUUAGUUAUUGUUGCUAAUUUCUUAC